CCUACGGGAGGCAGCAGUGGGGAAUAUUGCGCAAUGGGCGCAAGCCUGAUCCAGCGACGCCGCGUGAAGGAAGAAGGAUCUCGGUAUGUAAACCUCUAUUAGCAGGGAAGAAAAUGACGGUACUUGACUAAGAAUCCCCGGCUAACUACGUGCCAGCAGCCGCGGUAAUACGUCGGGGGCAAGCGUUAUCCGGAUUUACUGGGUGUAAAGGGAGCGUAGGCGGCUAAUCAAGUCAGAAGUGAAAACCCCGGGCUCAACCUUGGGAGUGCUUGUGAAACUGUGUAGCUAGAGUACAGGAGAGGUAGGCGGAAUUCCUAGUGUAGCGGUGAAAUGCGUAGAUAUUAGGAGGAACACCAGUGGCGAAGGCGGCUUACUGGACUGUAACUGACGUUGAGGCUCGAAAGCGUGGGGAGCAAACAGGAUUAGAUACCCGUGUAGUC
rnacentral:rRNA from 1 species